rnacentral:rRNA from 1 species
CCUACGGGUGGCAGCAGUCGAGAAUCAUUCACAAUGGGGGAAACCCUGAUGGUGCGACGCCGCGUGGGGGAAUGAAGGUCUUCGGAUUGUAAACCCCUGUCAUGUGGGAGCAAAUUAAAAAGAUAGUACCACACGAGGAAGAGACGGCUAACUCUGUGCCAGCAGCCGCGGUAAUACAGAGGUUUCAAGCGUUGUUCGGAAUCACUGGGCGUAAAGCGUGCGUAGGCUGUUUCGUAAGUCGUGUGUGAAAGGCGCGGGCUCAACCCGCGGACGGCACAUGAUACUGCGAGACUAGAGUAAUGGAGGGGGAACCGGAAUUCUCGGUGUAGCAGUGAAAUGCGUAGAUAUCGAGAGGAACACUCGUGGCGAAGGCGGGUUCCUGGACAUUAACUGACGCUGAGGCACGAAGGCCAGGGGAGCGAAAGGGAUUAGAUACCCCAGUAGUC